CAUGUGCGCCCACGUCAUGGUGACGCCGUGCGAGUGGUGAAAUGGAAGCCGGUGAAAAUCCGGGACGUGGGCGGCUGAAAUGCCAAACAUUGGCACCGUGAGCGUAUUGAGGCUAUAUCUCGUGGCGAAAGCCGGUCACUGGUCCCCGCGUAAGCGGUACCGGGAAGGCUGAGGUAUAGACGUUGGGGCCCUGACGGGUUUCUGGAAUUGCGUAAGUCGGAAGACGAGCUGGAGUGUUAUACAUAAG
rnacentral:ncRNA from 2 species